GAAUUUUUACAUGAGAACAUGAAAAUAAGGAAUUAUUUUACAUGUAGAAUAAGGAAAUCAAGUUGCUGGAAAAAGAAGGCAAAUAAUACAAGUUUUAUGCUUUCCCUCUCAUCUAACAACAGAAGAAAGCACAAAGAAAUGAAAAUAAUUUAGACAGAAGUUAAGCUCAAAAAAUUGCAGUUUGACAAAACAUAAAUAAAGAAGAGAAAGAUGGCAUUGAUAUUAAUUGCUAGACAGGUAUGGAAAAGGCCUUGUUGGGUCGACUUCUAACUAGAUAUGAAGCUGCCUUACACAUCCAACUGUACUUUGAAUAGAUGCAACAUGUUGGAAAGCUCUUUCAGACUCCAAAGCUCAUACAUGAAGCUUUAGAUCACCUUGCUUCUAUAAAUAAAACAUGAUAAAGAACAUGACUUGCAAAUCUUGGAAAUUGUUCAAAGAGUAUCAAAACUAAUACAUUACUUAUCAGUUGUUGGAUGAUUUCAGCAAACUUUCAAUUUUAUCAGCCUGCAUAAACAAAUUAUUAAAUGCACAGGAUUUGUGGUUGAUCACCUACCUCCAUAUCUUCGUCAGAUGAGAAGCCAUCCAUUAUUACUCACCUUUUCUUUUUAUUUCCCUUUUUUCCUUGAUGAUGCUCUAUUAAUGUGAAGUUUACCAUUGCUAUAACAGUGAUCCAUUCCAUUUUCGUUUAUUUUUCAUAUUUUUGCCUUUGCUAUUAGGAGCAAAACAUUGUCGCUUUGCUUUAAUUUUACCGUUCAAUUCUCAUCUCACACAC
rnacentral:lncRNA from 1 species